rnacentral:rRNA from 1 species
AAAAACGUAUUCGGAUCAUUGGGCGUAAGAGCACGUAGGCGGCCUGGUAAGUCAGAUGUGAAAGCCCGGGGCUUAACCCCGGAAGUGCAUUUGAUACUGUCAGGCUUGAGUAUGGGAGAGGGAAGUGGAAUUCCUGGUGUAGAGGUGAAAUUCGUAGAGAUCCGGAGGAACACCAGUGGCGAAGGCGGUCGGCUGGCCCUGACCUGACACUCUGCUUUUAAAGCAUGGGGAGCGAACGGGAUU